rnacentral:rRNA from 1 species
CAUUCGAGUGGCGGACGGGUGAGUAACGCGUGGGUAACCUGCCUUACACAGGGGAUAACACCUGGAAACAGGUGCUAAUACCGCAUAAGCGCACAGGGCCGCAUGGCCCGGUGUGAAAAACUCCGGUGGUGUAAGAUGGACCCGCGUCUGAUUAGCUUGUUGGCGGGGUAGGGGCCCACCAAGGCGACGAUCAGUAGCCGGCCUGAGAGGGUGGACGGCCACAUUGGGACUGAGACACGGCCCAAACUCCUACGGGAGGCAGCAG